rnacentral:tRNA from 1 species
AUAAAAAUAAGCUAAAUAAAGCUAUUGGGUUCAUACCCCAUCUAUGUAAGUAAAAUCUUUCUUUUUAUA